AUGGCCUGGACUCUGCUCUACCUCCUUCCCCUCCUCUUCCAGUGCACAGACUCCCUCUCCCAGCCUGUGCUGAUGCAGCCGCCCUCUGCAUCUGCUUCCCUGGGAGCCUUGGCCAUGAUCACCUGCACCCCGAGAACUGGCUACAUUUGUUAUUACGUGGACUGGUACCAGCAGGACCCAGGGAAUGGCCCACGGUUCGAGAUGGGAGCAGGCACCAGUGGUGGUGUUGGAUCCAAGGGGGAUGGGGUCUCUGAUCGCUUCUCAGGCUUAGGCUCUGGCCUGGAGCACUCUGUGAACAUUCAGAACGUCCGGGAGGAGGAUAAGUCUGACUACAUUUGUGGGGCAGACCAUGGCAGCUACGCGACACAGUAUACUGGUACCAGCAGAAGGCAGGGAGGCCCUCCCCGGUACUUCCUGUACUACUACUCAGACUCCAGUAAACAUCAGGGCUCCGGGGUUCCAAGCCGCUUCUCUGGGUCCAAAGAUGCCUCAGCCAAUGCAGGGCUUCUGCUCAUCUCUGGGCUGCAGCCCGAGGACGAGGCUGACUAUUACUGUGCUGUGUUUCUCGGCAACCCUGUUACAUACACGGUGCCCCAGCCCCACAGGAAAGGCCAGAAGGUCACCAUCUCCUGCACUGGAAGCAGCAGCAAUAUUGGGGGUGGUAAUGGUGUUCAGUGGUAA